rnacentral:tmRNA from 1 species
GGGGUCGUUACGGAAUCGACUGACACUGUUUGUGUUAUUACUGCGUUUAGGGGUUGUGGCCCUAUAAUCCACUCAGAAGAAUUAACUGCAAAAAAUUCAAAUAAUUUGGCUUUCGCUGCCUAAAAACCAGCGUGCCUAACCAAUUUUAAAUCUAAUCACGGUUUCAAAUUGGUCAUUAUAAACGUGAUUUACGCCUGCUUUUUUACAUCUGGAGAAAGCUUGAAUAAGAUAAUCAGAUUAGUCAAAAUGAUGGCCUAGUUUGGAGGCCUGCAUGCGACGAAAUUUAAAUGUUCAAACUAUGAACGUAGAUGUAAUAAUUACAAGGUGUUAGGACAGGGGUUCAACUCCCCUCGGCUCCAUUC